AUCGCUUCUCGGCCUUUUGGCUAAGAUCAAGUGUAGUAUCUGAAAACCUGGCAACACAUUGUGCUGCAAAACUGUGAUCACAU
rnacentral:snRNA from 14 species